rnacentral:rRNA from 1 species
UGGGGAAUCUUGCGCAAUGGGCGAAAGCCUGACGCAGCAACGCCGCGUGCGGGAUGAAGGCCCUCGGGUUGUAAACCGCUUUCAGCAGGAACGAAAAUGACGGUACCUGCAGAAGAAGGUCCGGCCAACUACGUGCCAGCAGCCGCGGUAACACGUAGGGACCAAGCGUUGUCCGGAUUUAUUGGGCGUAAAGCGCUCGUAGGCGGUUCGGUAAGUCGGGUGUGAAACCCCUGGGCUCAACCCGGGGACGCCACCCGAUACUGCUGUGACUCGAGUUCGGUAGGGGAGCGGGGAAUUCCUGGUGUAGCGGUGAAAUGCGCAGAUAUCAGGAGGAACACCGGUGGCGAAGGCGCCGCUCUGGGCCGAUACUGACGCUGAGGAGCGAAAGCGUGGGGAGCAAACAGGAUUAGAUACCCCCGUAGUCC